AUUACGCAAGCUAUAGCUCCUUCGGGGGUUAUUGCAUCCACCCUUUGUCUACUUGUACCUCUUGUUGUUUCCUCGGCAGGCUUGCCUGCCGCUAGGAACCCCAUAAACCCUUGUAUUUAAAGUAUCAAAAUCUCUGAUAACUAUUUAAAUUAUUA
rnacentral:misc_RNA from 1 species